rnacentral:rRNA from 1 species
GUGAGUCAUCGAGUCUUUGAACGCACCUUGCGCUCCUUGGUAUUCCGAGGAGCAUGCCUGUUUGAGUGUCAUCGAAACAUCAGAUCGAAGCUUUCGACCUCGUCGGAGCUCGGUUUGGACUUAUGGGAGUCUGCGGGCGAACCUCCCGUCGGGGGGACGUCGGCUCUCCUCAAAAGCAUUAGCGUUGGGUGCGAGCCUCGCGUGGCACGGCCUCUUCGACGUCAUAAUGACCGUCGUGGGCUGGAAGUGCGUGGAUCGUAGAUGCCCGUCGCUCUCCAACUCUGCGAGCCCGGUCCGUCCGGCCGCGUGUUAUCGAAGCUUGACCUCAAAUCGGGUAGGACUACCCGCUGAACUUAA